UACGAAGGGGGCUAGCGUUGCUCGGAAUCAUUGGGCGUAAAGCGCGCGUAGGUGGCUUCGUAAGUCCGUUGUGAAAGUCAAAGGCUCAACCUUUGAAUGCCGAUGGAUACUGCGGAGCUAGAGUACGGAAGAGGCGAGUGGAAUUCCUGGUGUAGCGGUGGAAUGCGCAGAUAUCAGGAGGAACGCCAAUAGCGAAGGCAGCUCGCUGGGACGUUACUGACACUAAGGCGCGAAAGCGUGGGGAGCGAACAGG
rnacentral:rRNA from 1 species